rnacentral:rRNA from 1 species
CACGUAGGGUGCGAGCGUUGUCCGGAAUUAUUGGGCGUAAAGAGCUCGUAGGCGGUUUGUCGCGUCUGCUGUGAAAACCCGAGGCUCAACCUCGGGCCUGCAGUGGGUACGGGCAGACUAGAGUGCGGUAGGGGAGAUUGGAAUUCCUGGUGUAGCGGUGGAAUGCGCAGAUAUCAGGAGGAACACCAAUGGCGAAGGCAGAUCUCUGGGCCGUAAACUGACGCUGAGGAGCGAAAGCAUGGGGAGCGAACAGG